UUCACUGCAGGCUGGACAUGACAGUCCCCUGUGUCUGAUUUCCCUCCCCGUCAUGUCCCAGGUCCGGGACUCACCAGAAGUCCACAAGUGGCGCCAGAACAGGGACUUAAGGGGACCUACCACUAAAGUGACGAGGUGAUGAUGGCGGCUGUGGAAGUUUACAAAAGGUGCAGCCUCAUGCGACCAUCCUGCAGUGGACAGAACAGUAUGUUUGGAGGGAGGAGCACAAACCCCAGAAACCAGCCUGGUCUGGGAGUCCGGGAUAGCAGGAGAAACUGGAUCCCUUAACUGUCCUACAGAAAAAGCAGGAGCCUCCGGGCCAGUCUCCAUCCCAGAGCUGGAAAACGUGGCCGACAGCUCCCUCUCUGGCCAGAAGGGGGCGCUUCCUCACCAUGAUUCCAUUGCCCUGCGGGGUGCGCGCCUCAGGGAGAUCAAAGCCCCGCAGCCCUCUCACCUCUGAGCUGCGGCGCCUCCUUCCCCAUCCCCAGGA